UACGUAGGUGGCGAGCGUUGUCCGGAUUUAUUGGGUUUAAAGGGUGCGUAGGCGGCUUUGUAAGUCAGUGGUGAAAUACUCUAGCUUAACUAGGAGGGGUGCCAUUGAUACUGCGGAGCUUGAGUACAGAUGAGGUAGGCGGAAUUGACGGUGUAGCGGUGAAAUGCAUAGAUAUCGUCAAGAACACCGAUAGCGAAGGCAGCUUACUGGGCUGUAACUGACGCUGAGGCACGAAAGUGUGGGAAUCAAACAGG
rnacentral:rRNA from 1 species